CUCCCUCCGGAGCAAGAUUUGUCUAUAAAGUUAUUUUUAGAUGCCUUGUGAGCAAAUUUCGUGGGAAGACAGGCAGCCAGCAGCCCCCGGCGAGCUGCUCACCCACCCCUCUCAGCUUACAGAGGGUAAUUAGCAGAUAAUCAUGCCAAAAUCACAGACUCCAACGGGCUAAUUUUAUCCUGUGUGCUGACAUCGGUGAGCUCGUUGCAAGGUUGGUGUGGAAGGUGUUGGAGAUUUGAUUCAGUAACGUAUUCAGGCACGUGCUUUGAGGGAGAAAACAGGUCCACUCCCUCCCCAGAAGGUGCUGAUGCUUUCCAGUGACUGAGGAGAUGCCCAAGACUAAAUGAAAUGUUCACAAGUGAAGAAAACUUGUGUCCACAGCCCACUGCUCCUCUAAUGGAAUUUUACAGCCCAUGAGGUUGUUAAUCCACGUUCUAAUUCAGCUCUGAAAGUGACCAAAAGUUUUUAAUCUCCUAAAUAUUUUCAAUAAUUCACCUAGACACUUGGAAACAGUAGGGAAAAAAAGAACAGCAGCAUGUGAAUGAAUGUGAUUAACGGGUCAUGGUUAUUCCCAGAUCUUUCUUUUUAAUAUAAU
rnacentral:lncRNA from 1 species